rnacentral:rRNA from 1 species
CCUGGUUGAUCCUACCAGUAGUCAUAUGCUUGUCUUAAAGAUUAAGCCAUGCAUGUGUAAGUAUGAACUAAUUCAAACUGUGAAGCUGUGAAUGGCUCAUUAAAUCAGUUAUAGUUUGUUUGAUGAUAUCUACUACUUGGAUAACCAUAAUAAUUCUAGAGCUAAUACGUGUAACAAACCUCGACUUCUAGAAGGGAUGCAUUUAUUAGAUAAAAGGUCGACGCGGGCUAUGCCCGUUGCUCUGAUGAUUCAUGAUAACUCGACGGAUCGCACGCCUUUAUGCUAGCGACGCAUCAUUCAAAUUUCUUCCCUAUCAACUUUCGAUGCUAGGAUAGUGACCUAUAUGGUGGUGAUGGGUGAUAGAGAAUUAGGGUUCGAUUCCGAAGAGGGAGCUUGAGAAAUGGCUACCACAUCCAACGAAGGCAGCAGGCGUGCAAAUUACCCAAUCCUGAUAGGGAGAGGUAGUGACAAUAAAUAACAAUACCUGGCUCUAUGAGUCUGGUAAUUGGAAUGAGUACAAUCUAAAUCCCUUAACGAGGAUCUAUUGGAGGGCAAGUUUGAUGCUAGCAGCCACAGUAAUUCUAGCUCCAAUAGCGUAUAUUUAAGUUGUUGUAUUUAAAAGGCUCAUAGUUGGAACUAGGGUAGGGUCGUCUGGUCUGCCUUAUGGUGAGCACCGGUCUACUUGUCCUUACUACCGACGAUGCACUCCUGGACUUAAUUACCCAGGUCAUUCCUUCAGCACUGUUACUUUGAAGAAAUUAGAGUGCUUAAAGUAGGCCUACGCUUGUAUACAUUAGCGUGGGAUAACAUCAUAGGAUUUCAGUCCUAUUGUGUUGGCCUUCAGGAUCGGAGUAAUGAUUAACAGGGAUAGUCAGGGGCAUUCGUACUAAAUAGUCAGAGGUGAAAUUCUUGGAUUUAUGAAAAAAGAAAAACGAACAACUGUGAAAGCAUUUUCCAAAGAUGUUUUCAUUAAUCAAGAAUGAAAGUUGAGGGCUCGAAGACAAUCAGAUACCAUCCUAGUCUCAACCAUAAACGAUGCCGACUAGAGAUCGAUGGAUGUUACUUUUAGGACUCUGUCGGCACCUUAUGAGAAAUCAAAGUUUUUGGGUUUUGGGGGGAGUAUGGUCGCAAGGCUGAAACUUAAAGGAAUUGAUGGAAGGGCACCACCAGGAGUGGAGCCUGUGGCUUAAUUUAACUCAACAGGGGGAAACUUACCAGGUCCAGACAUAGUACGGAUUGAUAGAAUGAAAGCUCUUUCUUGAUUCUAUGGGUGGUGGUGUAUGGCCGUUCUUAGUUGGUAGAGCGAUUUGUCUGGUUAAUUUCGUUAACGAAUGAGACCUCAACCUGCUAACUAGCUAUACAAAGGUGAUCUUCUAUGGCUAGCUUCUUAGAGGGACUAUGGCCACUUAGGCCAAGGAAGUUUAAGGCAAUAACAGGUUUGUGAUGCCCUUAGAUGUUUUGCGCCACACGCGCACUACACUGAUGUAUUCAAUGAGUCUAUAGCCUUGGUCGACAGGCUCGAGUAAUCUUUGAAAUUUCAUUAUGAUGGGAUAGAUCAUUGCAAUUGUUGGUCUUCAACGAGAAAUUCCUAGUAAGCGCGAGUCAUCAGCUGGUGUUGACUACGUCCUUACCCUUUGUGCACAUUGCCCGUCGUUCCUAUAGAUUGAAUGGUUUGGUAAAGUGUUCGGAUCGCAGUGACGUGGAUGGUUUACCGCCCGCAACGUCACAAGAAGUCUACUAAACCUUAUCAUUUAGAGGAAGGAGAAGUCGUAACAAGGUUUCUGUAGGUGAACCUACGGAAG